rnacentral:rRNA from 1 species
CCUACGGGAGGCAGCAGUGGGGGAUAUUGCACAAUGGGGGGAACCCUGAUGCAGCGACGCCGCGUGGGGGAAGAAGGGCCUCGGCGCGUAAAGCCCUGUCAGCAGGGAAGAAAAUGACGGUACCUGAAGAAGAAGCCCCGGCUAACAACGUGCCAGCAGCCGCGGGAAUACGGAGGGGGCAAGGGUUAUCCGGAUUUACUGGGUGUAAAGGGGGCGGAGACGGCGAUGCAAGCCAGGAGUGAAAGCCCGGGGCCCAACCCCGGAACUGCUGUUGGAACUGCGUGGCGGGAGUGCAGGAGGGGCAGGCGGAAUGCCUGGUGUAGCGGUGAAAUGCGUAGAUAUCAGGAGGAACACCGGUGGCGAAGGCGGCCUGCUGGACUGCAACUGACGUUGAGGCCCGAAAGCGUGGGGAGCAAACAGGAUUAGAUACCCCGGUAGUC